ensembl:lncRNA
GCUUCUCAGCCUCAGAUUAGACAGUGACUUUGAAACGAAGUUGACGCACCUUAAGCCCCAUGUCGCCUUUAUAUGGAAACAUUAAGCUGCUCUCCCAGGUCAGGAAGAGGCGGGGGGAGGGCUUGAGGCUCUGGAUCCGCUUCCCUCGGAUCCUGCUGUCGGUGAUGGGAGGUGCGUGGGCCCCGAGGCAGAACCCCAUCCCAGCUCUCAGGGCCAUGCUGGAUGCUGACGGGACCCCGCAGAGGUGAAAGGCGUCCCCACCCCCACCCCCAGCCUGCCUCUUGAAAUGGACAAGAUCACGUCUGUCUCUCAGGGCUGAGGGUAACAACGGGAGGAUUUAGGAAAACGAGAUCCUGGGUUGGAAAGGCUCAGGACUCAAACCGGCAGCCCACCCCCAGCACUUCAUGACUCUGGCCGGAUCUCUGAGUCCGCUCCCCAACCUGUGAAGCGGGGUGAUGAUCUUGACUUCCCAGCAUCCUGAGCAGCCAAGGUGAGCCCAGAGGGUGGGCUGCAGAAUUCUGGGAGCUUGGCAAGGCUGGGGACCAAGGUGCUCAGGAAACAAGGGCGAGUGAUGAGGUGGUCUGUGGUCCAGUCUGGCGCUCAGGCUUGGGCACCAGGAAGGCUGGAUGGGAGUCCAGGGUCUGCCGUUUCUUGACUGAGAGCUGGGACAGGAGACGAACCUCAGUGCCUCCGUUUGCUUUCCCAUCAGAAGCAGAAUCCCAACACCCAUCGGUGUGGGUGUGAGGAGGCCCCCACCCAUCACCCCCCUCCUGCAUCAUGUCAUCAGGUGGCCUCUGAAAGGGGACUAGUGGGUAGUGAGGACUCUGAGCAAGAGGGGGCUGCAAAUGGUAACAUUUGCCUGUAUUCUAACCUCAGACCUGCCCCCUUCGACAGACUCAGUUGCCGCUGCUUGGAAGAACAGUCUCUAAUGCCCAGAAAGUUGAGGGUGUGAAAAGAGUUGGGGCACAUCGUGGGCUGUGCACACAACCAGGUCUGCUGACUGGAGCCUCAGCUUUGCCUGUGUAGAGUGGGCCUAAGAAAUGCCCAUGUUGGGGGUGGAGACUGGGUGGUCACAGACAGCAGUGCAGAGCAGCGGGGCAGGGGAGUAGGUACAUGUCAGUGUUGAACUUGACAGCAACUAACAACUCAUUCUUCAUGGAGAAAGUGCCCCCAGCAACCAGGCAAAGACAAGUAGAGAUCCUUGUCGGGAGGCCCAUAAGCACCCUAGAGCCUGGCACAGGGAGUUCAUUGUACCUAGGUGCUUGGUAGGUGUUGAUGGAACUGGGAUGCAAAACGUUUAACCCCUAGCCCAGACAGGUCCCUGAAGUCCCAACACCACAGGGCCAAAUGUGCAGCUGCUGGAGGGCAAUGCGGUCUACAGUUGUGGUGCUUAUGCUUGUUGCUCUGCAUCAUGGGAGAUCUUAGUUCCCUGACCAGGGAUGGAAGCGGGUCACCUGCACUGCAAUGCAGAUUUUCAACUGGACCACCAGGAAAAUCCCUGAGUAUAAACUAGAGUUGAUCCUCUAUAUCCAUGGUUCUGAAUCCAAGGAUUCAACCGACCACGGAACAUGUAGUACGACUCUAUGAUUUAUUUUUAAAAAUCUGCGUAUAAGUGGAACCAUGCAGUUCAAACCCAUAUUGUUCAAGGGUCAACUAUAUCUUUUUGGAGAAAUGUCUACUCAGAUCCUUUGCCCAUUUUAAAAUUGGGUUGUCUGUUUCUUAUUGAGUUAUAAGGCCUCUUUAUAUGUUGUGGAUACAAAUUUUUUAGAUAUGAUUUGCAAAUUUUUUUUCCCAUUAGCAGACGGUCUUUUCACUUUCAUCUUAGGGUCCUUGGAAG